ACAGCAAAUUUAGCAGAGUUAAAAUUACGGUGUUAAUGGAAAUAUAAAGAGUUCGGAGUUAAUUUAACACUGAAUUGAGUUAAAACUAUUUUAUUUAACUCUAUAAAAAUAAAGAGUUGGUGUCAAAACAGAGUGUUACCACUUUUUUUUUAAUUAACUCCUACAGUGUUUUGUUAGUGGAGUUUGUUAACUCUUAGGGUGUUAAAUAGAGAAGACCUCCCACUUUUUACAGCACACACUGAACCGUGUUUUUGGAUGAUGCAGUUCAAGCAGAAGGUCAUCUCUUCACUGUAAAUGGUAAGUAAAUGUUUAAUAAAUAAAAUUUUGAUCAAUUACAUUUGAGAGUUGUGAGGUGAUAUGUUUUAUAUUGCUGUUAGUAUCAAGUUUAACAUUCAAGAGUAUCAAGAGUCAUGUGUUAUUGUCAUUAUACUGUAUGAAUGCGGCAGUUGAGUUUAGGUCUUAGCCUCAGAUGGAGCAAUUCAUACUCGUAUAAUGGUUUUGAAAGUUUUUUUUUUUUUUGCUUUAUAUGCUGUUUAAGUUUAAAAUAUAUGUUUUUAAAUCCAUAAAUGUGUUCAGGAGAUUUGCUUUGGGGACUUUGGAGGAGCACAGAAAUAGGCCUACAUGAACAUUUCUUCAGACUAAGAGCAAUUUUAUAACAAAAAAAGUUCAAUAUCUAGUCCGAAGAUCUGACCGAGGAUCAUAUCACCUCCUUACAGCUGGUUCAUCAUAUUCUGCUGUUAUUAUGUGAAGACCAACAUGGAUUUUGGAUUGAAAUGAAGUCAAACUUGUUUGUAUGAACUGAAGCAUCCCAUAAACUGUGUUUAUAAAUAUCUGUACUGUUGUUAUACAUUGGGAAUGUGCUUUUUAGUUGUCUCGGAUGUUAAUAUAUGUUAAUUUAAUGAACACUUAAAUGCAUGAUACAUUGAGAACAAUUUUUCUGUCAUAAAUGUUGCUCAGAUGACAU